rnacentral:lncRNA from 1 species
AACUUUCUCAAGUCAGUGGAUCAGACUUGGACUCAAAAGAUCUCCAAACCCAGAGCUGGGUAACUCAACAGAGGCCCCCAAAUACUCAUGCAUUCCCCCAUAUGUUCUAUUAACCAGAUUUUGCUAUUUCUGGUAGCAAAAGAAAUAUCAUUCACAUAAUUUAUUCUAUACAUAAAAUAAACCAUUUUAAUAUGAACCUUUUCAAAUAUGUGCCCAAUGGAUUUGUCUAUGCAUGCACUGUUGUGAGUACAAGGGAUAUAGCAAUGUUUAAAGCAGACAGGGCAGCUGCCCUGGUACCUGAAAUGCCAGGGAAAUGUAUUAGAAGCAAAUUCAUGUAAUAGGAAGAAGGUGACACAAGAGGAUAGAUAUUACUGAGGAGCACUGGGGUGUUAUUGGAGAGCACUCUCAUUUUAAAUAGGGUGUUGAGAGUAGACCUCAAUGAGAAUGAGCCUGGAGGAGAGCAAACCUCAUGUCCAUCUAAGGAAAGAAUGUUUUAGGUAGGAGCCUGGGUAAAAAGGCUGCAUUGAGAGGGACUCAGUGAGUCUAAGGUUCAGUGAAUGAAAUGAGAGCAAAAAAAAAAAAAAAAAAAAAACAGGAAGAGUAACACAAUAAUAAAUAUUUUGAUAGCUAAUUUUUAUUGCAAACUUUAUUGGAUUAAGGGCAUCAGUGAGUCACACCUUUGGGUUUGUCUAUGAGUGUGUUCCAGGGGCAAUAAACUAGAGAACAGAGAUCCAUCCUGCAUGUAGGUGGAACUAUCACACAUGCUGGAACCUCAGAUUUAUAAAAGGGAGAAAAAGAAAAGCCAGUUUAAUAGGAAAUCCCCUUUGCUCUGUUUCCUUACCCACCAUAAUGUGAGCAAGAAGCCUCAUGCUCCUGCUGUUGUGAUGGAGAGAUGCUUUUAUAGUUUUGCCUUCUCAACUGUGAUGACUCAAUCUCCUCCAACCAUAAGCCCAAAUAAACCUUUCCUCCCUUUACUUGCCAUUGCAAGUAAUUUGGUCUCCAUGAUGAUGAAACGAAUGAACACAAAUCUGGGAUAGUGCUAUAUCUUAAAAGGAAGAACAUGAGAUGCUACUGUGAGUGAAGUUAAGACUUGGACAAACGAAUGGUAUGACAUUGCUUGUAUUUUGAAAUGAUUUCUAGUUGAUGUGCUGAAAACUGACUUUAAGAAGGAAAAGGGAACCAGAAACAUGAAAUAUGAGGCUAGACCAUUUUCCCAGAGAGAGGGGACUGUGUCUAAGUCUAGGAUGUAGGAGUAGGGUUAAUGAGGUCACAUCUGGUCAAUAUAGCAUUGAAGUGGGUUUUAUAGAAUUUGUUGGCUUAGAUAUAGGAUGGUUGAGAAAAUGAGGGCCCAAGGAAGACUCCAAAGUAUUAAGAAGCUUAAAAGACAGGACAACCAUUAACCAACAAGUCUGUGGGUUAAGAACAGAAGUUCAAUUCUGGAUAGUAUAAGUUUAAGGCAUAAUAUUACAAUAUUUAAUAAACCCUUAGAAGUAUGAUUCCAGGGAGAGAUUUGAGGCUAGAAAUCUGUAUUUGAGAAUGUUCAGCUUAUAAAUUAUUCUUAAAGUUACAAGACUCAGUAAGCGCAUGGGAAUGAAUGUAAAUAGAAAGGAGAAACCGACUUGAGCCACUGGGCUUUCCUGUAUGAAGAAUCAUGGAGACUACGAGAAAUCUAGUUUAAAGGUUUUCCCUUUAGAGGAGCCAGUGUGGUAGGAAGACAUUGAAUUGAACAUGAUGGAGGUCCCAGAAGAAAUACUCUCAACAUGAGAACAGCUAGCAAACAUCACUGGUGCCUGGAUGCACAGAAUUGGGAGUUGGCUGCAGUCAUGUGGAAGUCACUGUCAUCUUGAUAAUAUUUAUUGGCAAUGGAGAGCUGAACAGCUUUAAGACACAUGCCAGGGCCUAGCAAUCUCUGGGCUACCAGCUAGACCCGGCUUUCACAUACACAGUCUCAUUAGACUGUGACGACUUGAUUUUAUGUUGUUUGCGGCAAAUCAAGCAGAGGAGCCUGCUGAGCAGAAAAACCUGGUAGCAAACCUCUGCUGCCUCAUGAUAGAGACAGUACUCAAGACUUACCUUAAAAGCAGCAGGAGUUGAAUGCGUUUUGGAGAAAAAGUAGAGUCAGAAAAGAGAAGAGUCCUCUGAAGAGAGGUUGCCAUGUACUAAGCUGGAUCUUUAAGUGUUUGGAUCCAGAAAACUCAACGCUGAAGGGCUGUUCCUCACAGCAACUCUCCAUACUGGCCCAAAGGAUCAUUUCACGGCACUAUCAGCAAUGUAUUUUAGAUGUACCUGUGUUUCUAGACUCCAUUUUAACAUAGAAUUGGUAUUUGUAGACCCACAAAGAAUGACACCGUCUCCCACUUUUUCACUUCUUUAAAAUUUUUACAAUUUAUUUUUACUUUUGUGUGCAUGUAUGUGGCCUGCUUAUCUGUACAUGCACCACCUAAGUACAGUUUCUGUGAGGGCUAGAAGAGGGCAUCAGUUUGCCAGGACUGGAGUUAAAAGCAGCUACAAGCCACCUAGUGUAGGUAUGGAGAACUGAAACAAGGUCGUCUGCAAGACAACAUGCCAUCUUGAUCACUGAGCUGUUUCCCCAGCCCCUUUUUUUCUUUUCCUUUUUCUGUUCCCUUUUCUGUUCCUUUUCCUUUUCCUUUUCCUUUUUCUUUCCCUCUUUCUCUUUCUCUUUCUCUUUCUUUUUCUUUUUAUCUUUUAAAGGUGUGUGUGUGUGUGUGUGUGUGUGUGUGUGUGUGUGUGUAUGUGUGUGUGUGUAUGUGUGUGUGUGAAAAACAGAAGAGGUUACUAUAUAUUGCCUGGUGUUAGAGUUACAGACAAUUGUGAGGUACUGGGACCUGAACUGGGGUCCUUUGCAAGGGCAGCAAGUGCUCUCAACAGCUGACCUCACCCCCCCCCCCCAUAUUUACAUUUUAUUUUAGAUUGAAGGGCGCAUAAUUGUUGCUUUGGCUGCUUAGGCUUCCAAGCCCCAGAAGUGUGGAUAAUAUGUGCCAUGGUCUGCAGCACAGUAGUAUCAGCCAAAAUGCAGUGACUCUGUGGCCAGUUUAAAGGAGGAACUUAUAGCUCCUAAUCUGAAUGAGCAAGCUGGGUAUCUAGCACAGAAAUAAGACCAGAAUGUGUCUCUGUGACAACACAAGGCAGCAUGAAACAACAGCUUAAGAUGCCAAGGCUACCUCAGUGGCUAGCCUAAGCUGUUGUUCCUUUUGUUCUUCAGGCUUUCCCAUCUUAGUAGACAGUAAUUCCUUCUUGUUAGCUGCUCAGGCUGGGUUCUUUGACCUUCUGUCCUCUCCCACACAUCCCUGUCUAAUUUCUCAGGGAAUUCAGCUAGCUUUGCCUUUAAGGAGCAUCCCAAACCAACUGUCUCUCACCAUCCUCAGGGCUAACCUCCUUUGUUCUUCACUCCAUCCCCAGCCUUACUUCUGCUGUCCAUCUUUCACUGGAUUACAGAAGUGGCAACACUACCAGUGAGCUGGCUGGGAUGGUUUUGCUCAACAGAGAUGGAAAUCACGAGACUGAGAAGAGCAAUGCUGCUUUCCCUUAGAACUCUUGGCAUCUGAACUGGACAGUGCUGUCCACUCUGGGGAGGGUCUCCCUUCUUCAAAUAAGUUUUCUGGGAACUAUUCUCACAGGUAAGAUGUAUCUCUUACUUCACCCAGAUCCGAUCAAAUUGACAACCAAGAUGAACUGUCACAAUAACCAUGGGUCCUUGAGUGCUGAAGUCUUAUUGGUUAGGCCAGCAGUAUUAAAGGCUUAUAGCUCAGACCCCUGGGAAUUAGAGUCCUCUAAUUCCUGGUCUUAGAAUUCAGAGAUGAAUAGGUGCUUAAAUUAGAAGUUAAUUUUGCUGUGUUCUUAGUGCCAACAGCCAGGUACCCAGUAGCUAGUAUAAUCUUUAACCUUCAAUUGUAGCCAGUAGUCAUUGGCAGCUGUCAGCACCAACUAGUUACUGCUCUCAAGACUUGGUGUUUGGGAUCCUAGCAGCUUCCAGGAGCCCUUCCAGUGGCCAUGACUGUGGCCUCUCGCCUAGCACCUUCUGCUUUCUGCAGGCUUGCCUCUGCCUUGCUCACUUUUUCUCUAAUUCUACUAAUUUUCAUGAUUGUAUUUGGUCCCUUCUGAUUCUGCCCUCAUCUGCUCUUCAGAACUAUUC